AGCAGCCGCGGUAAUUCCAGCUCCAAUAGCGUAUAUUAAAGUUGUUGCAGUUAAAAAGCUCGUAGUUGAACUUCGGGGUUUACCCAUUGGUCAGGCUUAAUUGCCUGUACUGGUGAGAUAAAUCUCUACCUUCUGAGGAACUUUCAUGCCAUUUAUUUGGUGUGAUGGGAAAUCAGGACUGUUACUUUGAAAAAUUAGGGUGUUUAAAGCAGGCUAACGUCUGAAUACAUUAGCAUGGAAUAAUGAAAUAGGACGGAUUGAUUCUAUUUCGUUGGUUUCUAGGAUCACCGUAAUGAUUAAUAGGGAUAGUUGGGGGCAUUAGUAUUCAAUUGUCGGAGGUGAAAUUCUUGGAUUUAUUGAAGACUAACUACUGCGAAAGCAUUUGCCAAGGAUGUUUCAUU
rnacentral:rRNA from 1 species